rnacentral:lncRNA from 1 species
CCCAGGCUUUGAGACCCCUCCGUGGUAAGAGACGUCGCUCGUCGCAUACACGACGUCCGUCUGCCGAUGGGGCAGGGGCUUGACGUAACGGACUGACUGUAUCUGCCGGCGGCAGUGGCGGCGUCGCCGGCGACGGAAUGCGCCUCAACGCGCUCUGCCGCGUGCCAUACACUCUCUGCCGUACGCGCCGCCUCCGGGAUGCUCAAUCCGGCGUAGUGCAGGCCGCCAGCGGCGGCGGC